ACACACAGGGACUUUCCAAUUAUCUAGCAAUGGUACUGUUCCUUUACCCUCUCUUCGCUUUUGAGAAAGUAGUCAUGUUGGGGGUCUGGCUCUCGAGAUUCGGAGGACGGUGCCUCUUCGAUUUUGGAGCAAGCAAUCUUGUUGGGAGUGUUUUCUCGAAUGUGAGUAAAGGUUGGGCAUGUUUGCUAGUCUACCUUGCCACGAAGCACAGAGGUUGACACACAGGAACUUUCCAAUUAUCGAGCAAUGAUACUGUUCCUUUACCCUUGUGGGUAAUAAUAUGGUAGCUAGACCUUCAAAAUUUAUGUGUCUAAACUUUGUUAGUUCUGUUUCUUUGCUAUUCUUUUACCUUUCUUGGUCAGAGCGAUGUAGUGGGAGCUGCAAGCUUCACGUGCUCAACUUUGGCAGAGAACUUUGGCAAAGUUAUCUGUGGUACCCAUGAGCUAUUGUUGCGUGUGGGAAGUGGGUGAUUGAACAAUAAGAUUCAUGUGCUUUCUACUUCACCAGAAGUCUUCGACAGAAUGCCCAUAAUUUCUGGAAAGCUGAGUGUGCGUGUGACAGGUGCUGACAAGGCUAGAAUAGUAGGUGCCUCUUCGAUUUCUGAGAUCGGCCCUCGUGGUCUCUGAGCAGCCCAGCUUUCGAGAAAGAGAGCGCCUCUUCGAUUGAUUCGGAGAACGAUGCCUCAUCGAUUUUUGAGAAAGCAAUCAUGCUGAGGGUCUGGCUCUCGAAGAUUCGGGGAGCAGUGUCUCUUCGAUUUUUGAGAAAGUAAUCAUGUUGGGAGUCUGACUCUCGAGAUUCGGAGGGCGGUGCCUCUUCGAUUUUGGAGCAAGCAAUCUUGUUGGGAGUGUUUUCUCGAAUGUGAGUAAAGGUUGGGCAUGUUUGCUAGUCUACCUUGCCACGAAGCACAGAGGUUGACACACAGGGACUUUCCAAUUAUCCAGCAAUGGUACUGUUCCUUUACCCUUUCUUCGAUUUUUAAGAAAGUAGUCAUGUUGGGAGUCUGGCUCUCGAGAUUCGGAGGACGGUGCCUCUUCGAUUUUGGAGCAAGCAAUCUUAUUGGGAGUGUUUUCUCGAAUGUGAGUAAAGGUUGGGCAUGUUUGCUAGUCUACCUUGCCACGAAGCACAGAGGUUGACACACAGGGACUUUCCAAUUAUCCAGCAGUGGUACUGUUCCUUUACCCUUGUGGGUAAUAAUAUGGUAGCUAGACCUUCAAAAAUUUUAUGGGUCUAAACUUUGUU
rnacentral:lncRNA from 1 species